UUUCGCGUCCCUUCGCCGGUAGCGGCAACGGCUGCGAGGGCCGUCGCGGGGGCCGCGUGCGCUCCGCUCCGCUCAGCUGAGCUGAUUUGAUGGGCAGAGUCGCGAGGAACCUGCCUAAACCAGGACUCGUGGAGUGUCCUGUACAUCCAGGGCGAGCGAGUCUCCUGAGCGAAAGGGACGAAGCGUUUUCACCUUUGCAGAGAAGAGGCAGACAUCCUUCUUAUGUUGUCUUAACGUUCUGCAGCAAUGCAGAGAUGCAAGAAAAAAAGCAAGAUCUACCAUAAUUAUAGAAAAGUCCUUGGAGAAGCUGCACUCUGAGGACAGUAAAGCCUUUGAGCAAGUUAUGCAGGAAUGAGUCCCUAGCUCACAUCACCUGAGAGAUAUACACUGGAUGAUCUUCACAUGGCUCACCUUGCUGUCUCAUUCAGUCCCUGAGCAGCACCGCUGACUUGCUCCCAUGGGGGAAGACUUCAAGUUGCUCACCUGGCUGUUCAUUUUAGUCUCUGAGUGUCACUGUAUGAACCUCAUACUGAAGAGGACCCCAUGUUGACCGCCUGCCUCGAAUGAUGAUUUCAGUUACGACCUCUACUUUUCCAGGGAAAAUUACUGCUGGAUUGAGUUUGAGGAAGGCUAUCAGAACUCCAGACAACCGUUAGGUGGAAGCAAAGAGCCAGAGUUUUCUGAAUCUCUUUGCCGCCACCUACAGGUCAACCAGAUUUUUUCAGAGAUUUGUUCUGAGUCCCCUGCCCCACCCUGUCUUCCAUCACCAAAACAUUUGAAUCAUGUUGAGUCUUUUCUUAACUCUACUGUACACAAGGCACCUAAGCCGGUUUUGUGUCACUGAGUCACAAUCAAUAAAAAAUGAU